UUUUUUUCCUUCUGCAGUUUAAAAAGGAGUCGCCCACGAGUAUUGAAAUAAUUUUAUCAGAUUCGCUUAAAAGUAGUUUUACGAGCAAGCAGUUUUUCCCUCUUGAUCCCCGUAUUCGUCAGCUCCUACUAUUUGCCUUCAAUUCUCAGUCAAGAAAACCUCUCCUGAUUUUCGUCUUUUGAUCUCAUACACACUUUGCUUCUGUUUAUCGUGGUCACUGCUCGUGCUAGCCGUUUUCUUAUUUAUCUUUGUUCCCUUUUUCCAUCAGCUCUUUGCAUUUUCAUUGGAUCAAGCAACCCUUUUCUUGAUUCAAUUUUCUGAUCUCAUAAACACUUUGAUUCUCUUCUGUUACACUGAUUUUCCCUUUUUUCAAUUUUGCCUUGUUUUGCUUCUACUUGAUUAUCAAUUGCGCGGCCGUUGACUCUGUUCUAUUUCUAUUUCGUUCCCUCCCCCCCCCCCCCCCCCCAAAAAAAAAAN
rnacentral:lncRNA from 1 species